UAGGGAAUAUUGGACAAUGGGGGCAACCCUGAUCCAGCCAUGCCGCGUGAGUGAAGAAGGCCCUCGGGUUGUAAAGCUCUUUUGUCCGGAAAGAAAAGCUUCGGGUUAAUACCCCGGGGUUCUGACGGUACCGGAAGAAUACGCACCGGCUAACUUCGUGCCAGCAGCCGCGGUAAUACGAAGGGUGCAAGCGUUACUCGGAAUUACUGGGCGUAAAGCGUGCGUAGGUGGUUGUUUAAGUCUGAUGUGAAAGCCCUGGGCUCAACCUGGGAAUGGAAGUGGAAACUGGGCGGCUAGAGUGCGGUAGAUGGUAGUGGAAUUCCCGGUGUAGCAGUGAAAUGCGUAGAGAUCGUGAGGAACAUCUGUGGCGAAGGCGACUGCCUGGACCAGCACUGACACUGAGGCACGAAAGCGUGGGGAGCAAACA
rnacentral:rRNA from 1 species